CUACUGUGUCCUUAGUAUCCUAGGGGGAAUGUCUGGAAAAGACCAUUCUGAUCCUCAAGGAGCUUCCAAUUAAAUGAGUGAAACAGCCUCUAAACAAGCCGCUGGAACCUGGGGUGAUGACAGCAACAUCAUGCGUCACACUGUGCAUCGUAGUCAUCUCCUUAAAUCCUCAAAACAAUCUGGUACAAUUGGUAUUAUUGCCGUCAUCUUACAGAUCAGAAAACCAAGGAAUGGAGUAGCUUAGGUUCCAUUCCACUCAAGAAUGGAAUCAAGCUCCGGUGGAACCCAAAGUCCAUGCUGUUGACUUCUACGCUGAUGUGGGACAUGAUAUUCAAAAGCUUGAAAGAAUUUGUCGCCAGAAGGCUUCACUAUACAAGAUAUGUUAAAGGACGUCCCUCAGGCAGAAAGAAGACGAUACCAGAUGGAAAUCUGGAUCAACACAAAGAAAUGAAGAGCACUAGAAAUGCAGGUAGCAGUAAAGGGCGGGAGGAACAGCACAUUAUAUCACUUUCCCACUAGAUGGAUGUCAAGCACCUAGAGGAAAGGAAGACACGUCUCCAUGCAAAGACUACAGGCUAACAGUGUAGAUUGCUGCAAUGAUGCUUCCCUACACACGUGAGUAUUCA